rnacentral:rRNA from 1 species
CAGAACGAACGCUGGCGGCAUGCCUAACACAUGCAAGUCGAACGAGACCUUCGGGUCUAGUGGCGCACGGGUGCGUAACGCGUGGGAACCUGCCUUUAGGUUCGGAAUAACUCAGAGAAAUUUGAGCUAAUACCGGAUAAUGUCUUCGGACCAAAGAUUUAUCGCCUUUAGAUGGGCCCGCGUUGGAUUAGCUAGUUGGUGGGUAAAGGCCUACCAAGGCGACGAUCCAUAGCUGGUCUGAGAGGAUGAUCAGCCACACUGGGACUGAGACACGGCCCAGACUCCUACGGGAGGCAGCAGUGGGGAAUAUUGGACAAUGGGCGAAAGCCUGAUCCAGCAAUGCCGCGUGAGUGAUGAAGGCCUUAGGGUUGUAAAGCUCUUUUACCCGAGAUGAUAAUGACAGUAUCGGGAGAAUAAGCUCCGGCUAACUCCGUG